CCUCUGCACUGCCUUCCUUCUGCCGGCCUCACUUCUGUCCUUUGCCCCUGAUGUCAGGUUUCCACUCAGUUCCCUCUCUCCCUCUUCCCAGCGGUGGCUGCCCAGCGCUGUGCCUCCGUUUCACCAGGCCCAGUCUUUCUCUGUUGUUCAUGCUUGCUGCUUCUCAAAGAAAGAGGGGAGAACAGAAAAAGAAAAGUGACAGAAACGGGCAUGGGUUGGGCAAGGAGGGCCAGUCAAGGCAAACAUAGAGAGGUGGAAAGUUCCUUGUAGAACAUCGUGUUCAGUACAUGCUUGUGGGCAUUGGCGCAUGCAGACAUGCACACACACAUUUGCAUGCCUAGAGACACACUUGCACACACUUGGACACACAUUUUCUCCUCAUCUUGUCUUCAGGAAUAGUCUAUUCAGGAGUGAGGUCCUCAGGUUUGGAACUAGUUGCCCAGAGGUGUAUUGAGAAAUAUGCCUCAACUUCAAAGAGACUAGACUUUUGUAUAGUUGAGGGGCUCUAGUGAAAUUAGUGGAACCAGGUUCUGAGCUCGCUAUUCACCAGAGAAGUGGGUGCUGGAGGCAGGUAGGGUGACGGGGGUGCACUCGAUCUGACUCCAGGCCAGCCAUGUGCUCCACAGAGAUACAUACCAAGUGUACAGAAGGAACUUAUAACGAAGUUAUUUUGAUAGCCUCCUGCACAACACUCUAAAAAUGUUGCAGCAACUUACAACACUGAUAAUGAAACAGAAGGAUAAAUAAAUGAUGUGAGAGGGACAUAAUGUAAUGAAGAAUAUAAUAAAGUCAAAGAUAAGACCCAUUGUGGCAGGUGAGGCUGCCAGUUUGGCCCUGAGAAUACAGCCCUUCCCACUAACGACAGGGAGAAAGGAAUUGCCUGGGUCCUGGAAGAACAGCUUGUGGAGGCAGAGGGCAGUGUUCUUGAUAGCUUCCCUAUGGUGGAGAAAGAAAUGUUCCCUAUGAAGUCCUAAGCAAGAGACAAAGUACAGCAGCCCAAGUUACCCAAGUCAAACUGUGGGUAAAAUUCCCAUCAUCUAGUGCAGUCAUCUUCAAUGUUUUUGGAAGAGCAGUGGUACUCUUUUAUUCCCACAAAAUUUUGUACAAGAGGGGGGAAUGGGAAGAGGGAGGGAGGGAGGGAGGGAGGGAGGGUGCAGGAGCUUCUUUGGUUCAAAUGGGGUUGGGGACUCCGCCACUUCCUCAGGGCCUCUUUCCCCACCCAGAGGUGGCUGAGACAUCUCUGCUCUGAAUCCCAAGGGUCUGAAAAGAAAAUCCCUGGUCUGGCCCAGGUGAGUGAAUCUGCGUCAGGGAAAAGGGAAGGAGGGAAGAAGACUGGCUGCCUUUUAUUGCUACUUGCACAAAGUUACUGUGAGAACCAACAGGAAAAUUUAUGCAGGGUGGGGAGAAACUAAGUUUACACUUGUCCAUAUGGAAAAAUAAUACAAUAAUUAAUAAAUAAAAAGACACAAAUAUAUGUUUCAUAUACUCACAACUGUAAACCUAC